UACGUAGGGGGCGAGCGUUGUCCGGAAUUAUUGGGCGUAAAGAGCGUGUAGGCGGUUCGGUAAGUCUGCCGUGAAAACCUGGGGCUCAACCCCGGGCGUGCGGUGGAUACUGCCGUGCUAGAGGGUGGUAGAGGCGAGUGGAAUUCCCGGUGUAGCGGUGAAAUGCGCAGAUAUCGGGAGGAACACCAGUAGCGAAGGCGACACGCUGGGCCGUACCUGACACUGAACCGCGACAGCAUGGGGAGCAAACAGG
rnacentral:rRNA from 1 species